rnacentral:rRNA from 1 species
UACAGAGGGUGCAAGCGUUAAUCGGAAUUACUGGGCGUAAAGCGCAUGUAGGUGGAUAGUUAAGUUUGAUGUGAAAGCCCUGGGCUUAACCUGGGAAUGGCGUUGAAGACUGGUUAUCUAGAGUCGGACAGAGGGUCGUGGAAUUUCCGGUGUAGCGGUGAAAUGCGUAGAGAUCGGAAAGAACACCAGUGGCGAAGGCGGCGACCUGGGUCCAAACUGACACUGAGGUGCGAAAGCGUGGGGAUCAAACAGG